rnacentral:snRNA from 1 species
UCAACGUUUAGUUCAUGUUUUAAA